rnacentral:rRNA from 1 species
GUAGGGGGCGAGCGUUAUCCGGAUUUACUGGGUGUAAAGGGCGUGUAGGCGGGACUGCAAGUCAGAUGUGAAAUUCCAGGGCUCCACCCUGGAACUGCAUUUGAAACUGUAGUUCUUGAGUGAUGGAGAGGCAGGCGGAAUUCCGUGUGUAGCGGUGAAAUGCGUAGAUAUACGGAGGAACACCAGUGGCGAAGGCGGCCUGCUGGACAUUAACUGACGCUGAGGCGCGAAAGCGUGGGGAGCAAA